AACGUAGGAGGCAAGCGUUAUCCGGAGUUACUGGGCGUAAAGCGCGCGCAGGCGGUGCGUUAAGUGUAUUGUCAAAGACACAGGCUCAACCUGGGGAAGGCAACACAGACUGACGGACUGGAGGCAGCUAGAGGGACGUGGAAUUCGGGGUGUAGCGGUGAAAUGUGUAGAGAUCCCGAGGAACACCAGCGGUGAAGACGGCGUCCUGGGGCUGACCUGACGCUGAGGCGCGAAGGCGUGGGGAGCGAAC
rnacentral:rRNA from 1 species